rnacentral:antisense_RNA from 1 species
CUUGACCGAGCCGAGCCACAGCGGGUCGGCGCUGUCCCGGUCGCCGUAGGUGGCGAGCAACGCCUGGGCCUC